rnacentral:rRNA from 1 species
UACGGGGGGGGCAAGCGUUGUUCGGAUUUACUGGGCGUAAAGGGCGCGUAGGCGGCCACCGCAAGUCGACUGUGAAAUCUCCGGGCUUAACUCGGAAAGGUCAGCCGAUACUGCGGGGCUAGAGUGCAGAAGGGGCAACUGGAAUUCUCGGUGUAGCGGUGAAAUGCGUAGAUAUCGAGAGGAACACCUGCGGCGAAGGCGGGUUGCUGGGCUGACACUGACGCUGAAGCGCGAAAGCUAGGGGAGCGAACGGG